rnacentral:rRNA from 1 species
CGAGCGGACAGAAGGGAGCUUGCUCCCGGAUGUUAGCGGCGGACGGGUGAGUAACACGUGGGUAACCUGCCUGUAAGACUGGGAUAACUCCGGGAAACCGGAGCUAAUACCGGAUAGUUCCUUGAACCGCAUGGUUCAAGGAUGAAAGACGGUUUCGGCUGUCACUUACAGAUGGACCCGCGGCGCAUUAGCUAGUUGGUGAGGUAACGGCUCACCAAGGCGACGAUGCGUAGCCGACCUGAGAGGGUGAUCGGCCACACUGGGACUGAGACACGGCCCAGACUCCUACGGGAGGCAGCAGUAGGGAAUCUUCCGCAAUGGACGAAAGUCUGACGGAGCAACGCCGCGUGAGUGAUGAAGGUUUUCGGAUCGUAAAGCUCUGUUGUUAGGGAAGAACAAGUGCAAGAGUAACUGCUUGCACCUUGACGGUACCUAACCAGAAAGCCACGGCUAACUACGUGCCAGCAGCCGCGGUAAUACGUAGGUGGCAAGCGUUGUCCGGAAUUAUUGGGCGUAAAGGGCUCGCAGGCGGUUUCUUAAGUCUGAUGUGAAAGCCCCCGGCUCAACCGGGGAGGGUCAUUGGAAACUGGGAAACUUGAGUGCAGAAGAGGAGAGUGGAAUUCCACGUGUAGCGGUGAAAUGCGUAGAGAUGUGGAGGAACACCAGUGGCGAAGGCGACUCUCUGGUCUGUAACUGACGCUG